UUGGUACUCCCUCCGUCUGAAAAAAAUUGUCCCUCAAAUUGAUGUAUCUAGCAUCAAGAUAGUGCUAGAAAUUGAUACAUCCAUUUAAGGUGCAAGUUUGGGACAAACUUUUUCGGACGGAGGGAGUAAUUC
rfam:Triticum aestivum genome assembly, contig: Triticum_aestivum_CS42_TGACv1_scaffold_112936_2AS